rnacentral:rRNA from 1 species
UACGUAGGGUGCGAGCGUUGUCCGGAAUUAUUGGGCGUAAAGAGCUCGUAGGCGGUGUGUCACGUCGGCCGUGAAAACCUGCAGCUUAACUGUGGGCGUGCGGUCGAUACGGGCAUCACUGGAGUUCGGCAGGGGAGACUGGAAUUCUUGGUGUAGCGGUGAAAUGCGCAGAUAUCAGGAGGAACACCGAUGGCGAAGGCAGUGUUCUGGGCCGAAACUGACGCUGAGGAGCGAAAGCGUGGGGAGCGAACAGG